rnacentral:rRNA from 1 species
UACGUAGGGUGCAAGCGUUAAUCGGAAUUACUGGGCGUAAAGCGUGCGCAGGCGGUGAUGUAAGACAGUUGUGAAAUCCCCGGGCUCAACCUGGGAACUGCAUCUGUGACUGCAUCGCUGGAGUGCGGCAGAGGGGGAUGGAAUUCCGCGUGUAGCAGUGAAAUGCGUAGAUAUUGGGAGGAACACCCAGGGGGAAACCAGCCGACUGGGCAUCUACUGACGCUGAUGUGCGAGAGCGUGGGGAGCGAACCGG